AGAGUUUGAUUAUGGCUCAGGAUGAACGCUAGCUACAGGCUUAACACAUGCAAGUCGAGGGGCAGCAUGAUCGAAGCUUGCUUUGAUUGAUGGCGACCGGCGCACGGGUGAGUAACGCGUAUCCAACCUUCCCUAUAGUAGAGAAUAGCCCGGCGAAAGUCGGAUUAAUGCUCUAUGUUGUAUUUAGAGGACAUCUGAAGAAUACCAAAGGUUUACCGCUAUAGGAUGGGGAUGCGUCUGAUUAGGUAGUAGGCGGGGUAACGGCCCACCUAGCCGACGAUCAGUAGGGGUUCUGAGAGGAAGGCCCCCCACAUUGGAACUGAGACACGGUCCAAACUCCUACGGGAGGCAGCAGUGAGGAAUAUUGGUCAAUGGACGGAAGUCUGAACCAGCCAAGUAAGCGUGCAGGAUGACGGCCCUAUGGGUUGUAAACUGCUUUUAUAUAGGGAUAAAGUCGGGGACGUGUCCCCGUUUGUAGGUACUAUAUGAAUAAGGACCGGCUAAUUCCGUGCCAGCCGCCGC
rnacentral:rRNA from 1 species